rnacentral:rRNA from 1 species
GGGGUGCCUGCGGUCUUGGGGUCCACCCCUGGGACCGCAGGUCGCAGUGGCAAGGGGGACCUGACUGUUUAACAAAAACAUAGGUCCCCGCGAGCCCGUAAGGGUGAGUACGGGGGCUGAAUCCUGGCCACUGGCGGUACGUGAACCCCGGGUACAACCGGGCGAAGCGCCGCUGAAGGCCGGGGGUAACUCUGACCCUCUUAAGGUAGCCAAAUGCCUUGCCGGGUAAGGGCUGGUGGCGGGGGUCAUCUUUAUGUCCUCAGUAGCCUAUCUGCUCGGCCUAAUUGUGGGGGAUGGCGGGCUGUACCUUCUCCGCUACAAAGGCGGCCGUACCGAAUACAGAGUUGUGGUGACUCAAAAAGACGCCGCCAUUGCCGAAAACGCGGCUAAGAUGUUUCAUUCGUUGCUCAAGGAGCUCGGCUUGGGAUCUAAGGUUCAGGUAAUAAGUGGGCGUACCCGCGUAGAGGUGCGGGUCUCGAGCAAGCGCCUUUGGCAGCUCUUCAACGACAAGCUGGCCAACCUAGAGGGCUUGGCGCCCGACGAGAGGAUCGCCUUCAUUAGAGGGCUCUACGACGCUGAGGGGGACAAGACCGGGAGGAGGGCUAGGCUCUGGAACAAGAACCGCCGGCUUCUAGACCUCGUGGGGAGCUGGCUGAGGGAGUUGGGAAUCGAGAGCAGAGUCUACCUUGACGACAAGAGACACGGGGUCUACGUCUUGGAGGUGCCAUCCCCCUACAGAAGGAGGUUUUUCGAAUUGUUGUACCCGCCCCAGCCCCCCGAUAGUUCCGGCGUGCAUGAAUGGAUCAACGAGGUCCCCACUGUCCCGGCCCGGGGCCCGGCGAACCCACCUCCAGGUGCACAGUCCUGGGACCCCCGACGGGGCGAGAAGUCCCUGUGGAGCUUCACAGCAGCCUGUCGUUGCGGGGGGGCGGGGGGUGCAGAGCGUAGGUGGGAGCGAUGAAACGGGGUCUCCGGGCCCCGUGGAUGCGGCCCUGGAACACCACCCACUCUCCGCCCCUCCGCUUACCCGCCGCAAGGCGGGGACAGCGGCAGGCGGGCUGUUCGGCUGGGGCGGCACACCCCUGAAAAGAUAUCGGGGGUGCCCAAAGCUCGGCUCAGGCGGGUCAGAAAUCCGCCGUAGAGUGUAAGGGCAAAAGCCGGGCUGACUGGGCCCUUGAACGCAAGGGGCCCAGGCGGGAAACCGGGGCCUAGAGAACGCUCGUGCCCCCACCAGACCCACCUAGGGCGAAAGCUUAAAUACAGGGAGGGCUCCCGGACCAUGGAGGAGAUAUUGGAGUACUUGGCGGGGUUAAAGGCAGAUGGUUAUUUGCUGAUUGACGAAAAGAAGCAUGAUUAUCAGUACAGGGUAUACGACAAGUCGCAGGAGUUCCUUCUGCUCGUUGCUGGGCUGAUUGAGAGAGUCGGCUACAGGGCCCAUAUCUACACGAGAGGAGGCGGUAGAUGGUACGAGCUGGUGGUAUACGGCAGAGAAUUCGUGUUGCUAAUAAACGAGCUCUGGCAUAGGCUCUUGGAGAACCCCACCAACGCCUUCGCUAGGGGGCUUGCCGAUGCCGAAGCCUCCGUGAUAAGGGGGAAUCCUAACAGGGUCAAGUUCACAAAUAGAGAUGUGGCGGUGGUUAAGGCUUUCGUCAAUGCGUUGGCCAGAAACGCGGUGCCACAUAGGACUUACACAGAGAGGCGGAGAA